rnacentral:lncRNA from 1 species
CUCUCGAGGACCGGUCCGUGGAAGGAGAGACCGGUUCCCCCAGUGAGCAGUGUUGAGGCAGCCUGAGGCAACCGGUCCCUGGCAGGCGAGACCGGUUCCCGAACGCGUCUUCGCAGUGAGAGACCGGUCCUGCGCAGGGAGAGACCGGUUCCCGAACGCUGGUUUUUCGGGUUCGCAGCGAAAGACCGGUCCCCGCUGGGGAGAGACCGGUCCCUCUGGGCGAAAACUGCCCAGUUCGGGCUGAUGUAAUAUUGGAUUUUUGAGGGGCCUCUUGGGAUUUUGUUACAAUAGAGGGUCUAUAUGACCCAUCCCCUCUCUCUUCUCUUCAUUUCUCUUCUCUCAACCCUCUCUACACCCUUGAUAGAGGACAAGAAGAAGAAGGAGAAGGAGAAGAAGGAAGGAAGAAGAAGAAGUUUGAGAGCUACUAGUGGUCUUGGAGCAUCUUCCUCACCCUCUCUUCUUCCUUGGAGCUUGGAGGUUGGACUUGGAGCUUGUCUAAGAGGAGAUCUUCGCCCUCUUGAGCUUGGAUUGAAGCUUCUUUGAGGUUGGUAGCCUUUCUCUCCAUCUAGACCUUGGAUUUGAGGUUUUAUUGUAUUGGAACCCUAGAAUGAGAUUUAGGGUUGAUUUUUGGGGCUUUUCGAUCUAGGGCUUUUGGGGCUAGAUUGAUUGGUUUAGAACCUUCCUUGGGCUUGGAUUGGAAGGAUUCUAGCUCUCUUUUGGAGCUUUGGAAGAGAUUUCUUCACUUGAGGUGAGUUUUGGCCCUUUUUGCUUCUAGGUUAAUUUUUGAU